AGUAACGCGUGGAUAACCUGCCUUGCACCGGGGAGUAACACUUAGAAAUAGGUGCUAAUACCGCAUAAGCGCACAGAGCCGCAUGGCUCAGUGUGAAAAACUCCGGUGGUGUAAGAUGGAUCCGCGUCUGAUUAGCUAGUUGGCGGGGUAGAAGCCCACCAAGGCGACGAUCAGUAGCCGGCCUGAGAGGGUGAACGGCCACAUUGGGACUGAGACACGGCCCAAACUCCUACGGAAGGCAGCAG
rnacentral:rRNA from 1 species